rnacentral:rRNA from 1 species
ACGGAGGGUGCAAGCGUUGUCCGGAUUUAUUGGGUUUAAAGGGUGCGUAGGCGGCCUUAUAAGUCAGUGGUGAAAGUCUUCGGCUCAACCGGAGGACUGCCAUUGAAACUGUAGGGCUUGAGUACAGUAGAGGUAGGCGGAAUUUAUGAUGUAGCGGUGAAAUGCAUAGAUAUCAUAAAGAACACCGAUAGCGAAGGCAGCUUACUAUGCUGUUACAGACGCUGAGGCACGAAAGCGUGGGGAGCGAACAGG